rnacentral:tRNA from 1 species
GUUUUAAUAGUUUAAAAUAAAACAUUGGUCUUGUAAACCGAAAAUAAGUUACUAACCUUUUAAAACU